CUGUCUGCAGGAAAAGUGUGCAGACUACAAAGCUUCGGAAAACCGGAGAGGCUGAGGCCGAGUCGACUAAUCGUGUUGCUGCACGUUGGAAACGUGUGCAUUGCGUGACUCCGAAACCAGAGGGCGGUCGAAUGGCCUUCACCCUGCGUUGACCCUCUCCUGCUUCAGAAGCCAGUGCCUCUGGAAAUGCCUGGAUCUGCGACCCCAACCUGAGCCUAGUAAGGCCCAAGGAAAGCUGACCGACCCGACGGCUCUCCUGGGCACCGGCAACAGUUUUCCAUUUGUGCCUACUCCACCUGCUGUCUUCGUUGGCUCAGCGAACGCGGCCUCCCUCUGCCGCUCAAACAGCAAACGGGACCGCCCUCGAGGACCUCACCUACCGCUCACCCAACUCCCAACUUCGCGGGCAUCGCCUCCAGUCACCUCUUCCGACGGCCUAACGAGCACUUUAGCUGCGAAGGGAGGUGAGGAGGCUGCGCUGACUGGCCGGUGCCCAUGUCCAGGGCACGCACAAACGCCAUGACUUGGUUUGGCCUCUCUCUUAGUUAUUUGCAGCUCAGCCCGAUAGGCGCCUCCGGGACGGCGACGGCAAAGAGGAUGGGCUUAUUGGGUGCAGCUCCACGGGGCUGGCACCUCUGCACGGCUGUGUACACCCGAGCGAGACGCUCAGUCGCUCUCCUAAAGCCGCUUCUGCGGAUGACAGACAAGGAGAUAAACGUGAGAAGUGGUACACCAGGACCUGCCCUCCUUCGCCCGGGAUUGCCCCUCGCUGCGGAGACUAUUCUGCAUCUGGCCCUUGGAGCAGGCCGGCUGACAGCGUAGUAAAGAGAUUCCUGCGGGAGGGCGGCCAGUGCAAAACAGUUCCCUGACCGGGAAUCGAACCCGGGCCGCGGCGGUGAAAGCGCCGAAUCCUAGCCACUAGACCACCAGGGAGACAUGAAAACGUGCUUUCUCUCCCUUCUUCGGUCUGAGGAUAGAAUUUCUCUGUGCUCUGGAAGGACUUGGGCCUUGUGAGGGUCGCUCU